GCAUAUCAUAAGCGGAGGAAAAGAAACCCAACAGGGAUUGCCCUAGUAACGGCGAGUGAAGCGGCAACAGCUCAAAUUUGAAAUCUGGCUCUUUCAGGGUCCGAGUUGUAAUUUGUAGAGGGUGCUUUGGAGUUGACUGUGGUCUAAGUUCCUUGGAACAGGACGUCGCAGAGGGUGAGAAUCCCGUAUGUGGCCGCCAGUCUUCGCCGUGUAAAGCCCCUUCGACGAGUCGAGUUGUUUGGGAAUGCAGCUCUAAAUGGGAGGUAAAUUUCUUCUAAAGCUAAAUAUUGGCCAGAGACCGAUAGCGCACAAGUAGAGUGAUCGAAAGAUGAAAAGCACUUUGGAAAGAGAGUCAAAAAGCACGUGAAAUUGUUGAAAGGGAAGCGCUUGCAGCCAGACUUGCCUGUAGUUGCUCAUCCGGGCUUUUGCCCGGUGCACUCUUCUAUAGGCAGGCCAGCAUCAGUCCUGGCGGUUGGAUAAAUGCCUGUUGAAUGUACCUCUCCUCGGGGAGGACUUAUAGCUUCGGGCGGCAUACAACCAGCUGGGAUUGAGGUCCGCGCAUCUGCUAGGAUGCUGGCGUAAUGGCUGUAAGCGGCCCGUCUUGAAACACGGACCAAGGAGUCUAACAUCUAUGCGAGUGUUUGGGUGUCAAGCCCGAGCGCGUAAUGAAAGUGAACGGAGGUGGGAACCCCUCGGGGUGCACCAUCGACCGAUCCUGAUGUCUUCGGAUGGAUUUGAGUAAGAGCAUAGCUGUUGGGACCCGAAAGAUGGUGAACUAUGCCUGAAUAGGGUGAAGCCAGAGGAAACUCUGGUGGAGGCUCGCAGCGGUUCUGACGUGCAAAUCGAUCGUCAAAUUUGGGCAUAGGGGCGAAAGACUAAUCGAACUAUCUAGUAGCUGGGUUCUGCGAAG
rnacentral:rRNA from 1 species